rnacentral:lncRNA from 1 species
CUCCUUCUCCCUAAAGACUUAGCAUUAGUACUGACUAAAAACACCAAUUGGUACUAAUGUUCCUACUUUAUAAACCCAGCACCUUGCCACCUGGUCGCGAAACACUAGCCUUCGUCCUUCGCGCCACCAUCCGUCUGCUCAUGUGUCGCCGUCAGUUGCACCUGCGCUAACACCCUUGUCGUUGUCUCCCUACAAACUUGCGCCGAUGUCGCCCUCACCGUAAUUUAGAUGAUGGAAACUCUUGUCUUGCAUGCUUGCUUUAGUAGAAACUAUUGCCAUGCUUCAGUAUGUAGCUUGCUUAAUCGACACUUGUUGGCUUGCUUCUAUACAUGAAAAAGGCUUACUUCAUUUAGGAAAUUCUCAGUAGGUACUGUUUAGGAAAACACAAGCUUCAGUUUGGAUAAGAUUUAAUAGGAAAUUGUUGCUUCAUUUUGGAAAUGCUUAUUAGACACUGUUUAUAGAAAUGUUUGCUUCAUUUUGGAUAAGUUUCAACAAGAAAUGUUCUCAUUAAUUUGUACCUUCUAAUCGCAUAUACAUACAAGUUGAAUAGCUUAGUUAGUGAAAUUGAAUCGCCAAAUCGAAUGCACUUCUUUGGGUUCUCGCUCUGCCACAUGUUGUGUGUCUCAGUGCCGAUCCACCCCUAGUCACUAAACUCGGUUGUUUGACAUCUGUCGCGUGCACUCGCGCUCAAGACACCGACCGUGUUAGUCCCCACACAUUAGGAUCAGGUAACUGCUCAAGGUUACAUGCAACUGACUCGAGUUUUUAAUUCCAAAGUUGUUCUUUUUAGUUGAUUUGAGUCGUUCAAUUAAAUCUACAGUCAAAUUCGUGUGGAAGCUCCCCUAGAAAGUUUAAUAAAACCUUUGUUUUAUAUAAGAAAUUACAUAUUUUCAAAAACUUCUGGAUAAUGUAAGUUUCUUUUUAUAUUUACAGUGAACUAAUAGAAAUUCAAAGAAAUAUUUGUCUUGGUUUUUAUAAUAUCAAGUUUAUUAUUGAGUAGACGUAUUAUGGAGAUCUACUGCUAUUACUGUACUAGAAUGGAUACAAUGCCAUGAAUAUGUAAACAAUCAAAGAAUCGACGAAUUAAGAGCACAUAUUAUUGAAAUAGAAAAGAGAGUAACAAAUUAUAAGAUAACGGUGAAAUCCAUAUUAUAAUUUGAAACUUAUUUUCAUCUUAGGACCCUUUCCAAAAUUGAUUUUUUUUAAUGAAGGAAGGAACUGAACCACUUACGGUGAGGAUAUGACAACAUGGCUAUAUGUGUUCGAUUAUGCUUUGCCUUGCAUUAUCCCAUGGACUCCUAUUGAAGUCGUCCCAGGUGCUCCCGAAACGCAUACUUCAUUCAACCUAAAGAGGUUGAUGAUGUCCCACACACAUCUAGUAGUACCCAGAGGAAUUCAAACAUUGGUCAACAAUUUUCUAGGCUGCUACAAGAAGAAAAAAUAUUAGAAGAUAUUUCUUAUGGUCCAAUGAAUAUGGUGAAGUGUACUACAAAUUUAAGAGGUGUAGUUUCAUAGGCAAGUUACUUCAUCUCAGUCUCAAAUUAAAGUACUAAAAUAACAUUGGGAACAUCGUCAGAUAUUUAUGACCUUAGAAGAUUCUGAAGCAAAAGACUAUCUUUUAACUAUUGUUGCUGCUUCUUAUUAGCUAGAUGAUGUGUGUUCGAGUGUUGAAUGUUGUGAACUAUGUAUUAUUGAUUGCGGACUCUGAUUAGUUUAUAUUGUAUGUAUAUAUGCUGCAUGUUGUGAACUCCGUUUUGGUUUUAUGUUGUAUGUUGUGAACUAUGUAUUGGUUUUAUGUUUUAUGUAUAUGCUGAAUGUUGUGAAAUCUAGAUUUUAGUAAAAGUAAACAUGUACAUAUCGAAUUACAAUAUAUAAAAUAAAUGUCCCUAGACAUCUUUAGUAUCGGUUCUUGAUAAGAGCCGGUACUAAAACCCCAUAUUUAGUACCAGUUUAUUCCUAGAACGGAUAUACACUAGUACAAAAAGGCUCAAAGCCUGCGGGGACGAUAUAUUUUUACAGGCGGUUUCGGUUAUCCACCGACUGUGUUAUUUCUAGUGGCGGUUCCUUAAGAAAACCGCCACUACAAAUCGAUUUUCACUGGCGGUCCUCAGUUACCCGCCUGUAAAAAUGAUGAUUUCUACUGGCCCCUAGCACUGGCGGUUACGAAAAACGCCACUAUAAAUAGGUUUGCAACCGCCACUAUAGAACUUCUCUGUACUAGUGAUACUAAAAUGGCAUAUUUUAGUAUAUAUAUGGUUCGAGCUAAAAACCGGCACUAAUGGUCUCGGUUUAAUAUUGGGCAUUGCAGCUCAGAUUAAAGAUUGAUGGUUGUUGUCCAGUAUCAGUUCUGUAACCAGUUCCAAACCGUACUAACGACCCGUUCUCGAGCAGUGAUCUAAACACAUUGCAAAGUUAGUUACUUGGUUAUGCAUGUAAACUUACGAAGUCACACGUUCCUCAGCCGUUGGAGGCAACGACUCUGCGGCUCCGCGAUCACGAGGCCUCCUUUGGUAGUCUGGGAUCCCGGAAGGAUUCCGGCUUAUUCCCUGGCCUUGAAAUCCACGGGUCCAAUUUCCCUGGGGCAAACAAAAAGUGUAUUUGGUGUCACACGUCUCCCGGCCCAAUCCGUGGGGAAGAGCGGGCUUUCGCCCCCGGCCUCGUAACGUCGGGUAGGUUUUCCCCGACUCGACUGCGCUUCUCUUCGUCUCCUUCGCGAACCCGCCGUCGCCCACUGCCUCCUCUCCUUCUACCUCGCGCACCCGCCGCCGCUUGCUGUCUCCUCUCUCGCGCGCACCGGUGUUCCCAUCGCCGUCUCCUUAUCUCCCUCGUGCAGCCGCUGUUGUCUCCUCUCCACCCUUGUACCCGCCGCCGCCUCCUCUUCAGAUUUCCUCUUCUUCACCCUCGCUGCCUCCUCUUCACCCUCGCUACGGCCUCCUCAAAUCGUUGAGACAACUAGUACAGUUGAGACAACUGGUGCGAGGUCGGACGGCGGGGACCAUGCGAACAAGCUCGUUGCUGCCUUCUCGGCUCGUGCACCCUCAUCUCAAGAAGUGAAUCGCCUCAGGUGA